rnacentral:rRNA from 1 species
AUUGAACGCUGGCGGCAUGCCUUACACAUGCAAGUCGAACGGUAACAGGUCUUCGGAUGCUGACGAGUGGCGAACGGGUGAGUAAUACAUCGGAACGUGCCUAGUAGUGGGGGAUAACUACUCGAAAGAGUGGCUAAUACCGCAUGAGAUCUACGGAUGCAAGCAGGGGAUCGCAAGACCUUGUGCUACUAGAGCGGCCGAGGGCAGAUUAGGUAGUUGGUGGGAUAAAAGCUUACCAAGCCGACGAUCAGUAGCUGGUCUGAGAGGACGAUCAGCCACACUGGGACUGAGACACGGCCCAGACUCCUACGGGAGGUAGCAGUGGGGAAUUUUGGACAAUGGGCGCAAGCCUGAUCCAGCAAUGCCGCGUGCAGGAUGAAGGCCUUCGGGUUGUAAACUGCUUUUGUACGGAACGAAAAGCCCUGGGUUAAUACCCUGGGGUCAUGACGGUACCGUAAGAAUAAGCACCGGCUAACUACGUGCCAGCAGCCGCCGCGGUAA